rnacentral:lncRNA from 1 species
UCCCUUUCUACCUCCCAAGCCUAACGAAAGAGGAAAGAAGAGACGGUGAGAUAGGAAGGGGCUUGGGAAAGACAAUGUAGCUAAAUAGAGGGUAGAGAGUUAUAGGAAAUGGGAGUAGGGAAAGCAAGAAAGACAAUGGUGGAAAAUCUGUCAUAUUAUUCUAUGUAUAGCUGAAGUGUCAUCCAUCUCUAUCUCGCUGUGUUGCCUCGGAGAGGGAAAGGGCAGGAAUGACUGGUCAAGGAAAAACUAACUGAUGGAAAUAGAGAACACUAUAAAAGAGAAGGGAUGUUGACAAGAUGCCAAGGUGACCAGAACAGCCUCAAUUUGCUGGGACAUGGACUCUACAAGGUGUCUAACACGUUCCACAGGGAUGCUGGUCCAUGUUGACUCCAAUGCUUCCCACAGCUGUGUCAAGUUGGCUGGAUGGCCUUUUGGGUGGUGGACCAUUCUUGAUACACACAGGAAACUGUUGAUUGUGAAAAACCCAGUGGAAUUGCAGUUCUUGACACAACUGGCCGGUGGUGGCUGGUCCACUCCAGGAGUCUGAGGUGCGGGAGGUUCCUCCACCCCCUCUGGACAUCGAGGGGGCCCUGGCGUAUGCUGUUCGAUCCAUCCUGGACUCGAGGCGUCAGGUGAGGGGCCUUCAGUACGUCGUGGAGUGGGAGGGGUACGGUCCGGAGGAGAGAUGCUACACACAGGCCGAUUACAUGGUCAAACUAUAUCAUGGAAAGAGCAGGUGUUCUUAAUGUUUUGAACACUCAUUGUAUACUGUAAUUAAAACAGCAACACACUCCAUAAUCUACAGAUGGCAUCACAGAUGGCCCAACAUGCCAUCAUUAAAAAGACCAGCCAUGCCAUUGCUCUGUUGCUGCAGUUACGGCGAGGGAUGGCGUUUUCUCUGGAGAUUGUGUUGUGAUAUAGUCAUAUACGUGCAAACAUACUCACUAACAUGCAUACAAAACACACUAACAUACAUACAAUACAAGCUAACACACAUACAAAAACACACUAACAUGCAUACAAAAAGACGCUAAC